rnacentral:rRNA from 1 species
AGUGAACGCUGGCGGCAGGCCUAAUACAUGCAAGUCGAACGAGCCCGCAAGGGCAAGUGGCGAAAGGGUUAGUAAUACGAUCGAAUGUACCCUGAGGUGGCGGAUAGUCGUGGGAAACUGCGGGUAAUACGUCAUGAUCUCUCCGGAGCAAAGAUUUAUCGCCUUGGGAGCAGCGAUCGUCCUAUCAGGUAGUUGGCGGGGUAAUGGCCCACCAAGCCGAAGACGGGUAGCGGGUGUGAGAGCACGGCCCGCAACAUCGGAACUGAGACACUGUCCGGACUCCUACGGGAGGCUGCAGUAACGAAUCUUCCGCAAUGGGCGAAAGCCUGACGGAGCAAUGCCGCGUGUGGGAUGAAGCGCCUUCGGCGUGUAAACCACUGUCAGGGAACGGAACCAAUGAUUGUUCCCAAAGGAAGUGGCGACUAACUCUGUG